CAUCUACCUCAACCUUCGAAAAGCAUCCGUUAUACAAGUUAUGGCGAUACUCCCGAACUCCCGCCCCAGUAUUGGGUGGCGUCGAGGUUAUCUCACCAACGAACAGCAUAAAAGAGAUUUUCGAUGUCGGCAUGCUAAACUCAGGUAUUCCAGAACUGCAACGAUAAAAUUGUGAUGACAACACCUCGGAGCUCAACUCCCCAGGACACUGCCACAACCCCUAAAGACAGGAGGCACCAAGAACAAUGUUCUCGUCACAAAGCCAUCGGAACGAUUCCAAGAUACCCACAUGAUCCUAUUUUUUUGUGAAAUUUGAGAAGAGAAGAGUCAAAACUCUACGUCAGGAUGCCUUACCAGAGCGAUGAGGAGACUGAGGAGUAAAAAGAAUUCCUAAACUCUCCGAUAUAUAAUUCCUAAAUGACUCAAAACAUUUUUCUAGACUCAACUCGGCCGCUAAAAAUGAUCAAGCAAUGGGGCUCCUAUGGUUGGGGAAGGCUCUGAUUACCAACUUGUAUCACCCUCGAUGCGGCUAUAGCUCCCACGUGUCGAGGCACGACUUAGAGACAUAACCGCGUUGAAAGCAAUGUCGCAAGUUAGGUAAUCUUCACAACAUCCCAUGUAAUAUAGAUAAUAAAAGGGGAGAUACAUAGUUGGCUUACACUCACCACGUCAAUCAAAGUACAUAAAUAGCAUUACAACAAUCAAACACUCAUGGCCCGACUACGGCGCCAAAAUGAAAGAUAACCCAACGUGCGACAUGGUCCCGAUCACCCCCAACUGGGCACCACUACUGAUCAUCAGGGAAAGACACAUAGUAUCGGCGUGAGUCCUCGUCGAACUCCCACUUGAGCUCAAGCGCGUCAUCUGGAACGGAGUCAUCAGGCCCUGCAUCUGGUUUGGAAGUAAUUUGUGAGCCACAGGGACUCAGCAAUCGCGCACCCUCGCGAUCAAGACUAUUUAAGAUUAUGGGUAAGGCAAGGUAAAUAUGUGGAGCCGCAGCAAGCGACUAGCAUAUAUGGUGGCUAACCUGUUCGCGAAAGAGAGCGAGAAGAGGAGGCAAAGCGCGAACGAAUAACUAGAGGACAUCCUGCGGCAAGCAUUACUCCAACACCGUGUUCACUUCCCGGACUCCGCCGAGAAGAGACCAUCACGGUAACUCACACUGUUGAUUCAUUUUAAUUAUGUUAAGGUUCAAGUUAUCUACAACCGGACAUUAACAAAUUCCCAUCUGCCCAUAACCGCGGGCACGGCUUUCGAAAGUUCAAAUCCCUACAGGGGAGUCCCAACUUAGCCCGUGACAAGCUCUCACGGUCCAUGAAGGAAUAGACCUCCUCCCGAGACAUUCCGAUCAGACUCGGUUUCCCGGUUCUACAAGACACUUCGACAAGUUAACACAAAUCCAGCAACACCGCCCGAAUGUGCCGACAAAUCCCGAUAGGAGCUGCACAUAUCUCGUUCUCAGGGCACAAUCGGAUAAGCAAUUCGUACAACUAAAACCAGCCCUCGAGUUUCCCCGAGGUGGCGCUGCAAGGGGCUCUAGAAUGGACCAACACUCAGAGGAGCACUGGCCCGGGGGGGUUUAAAUAAGAUGACCCUCGGGCUCCGGAAACCCAAGGGAAAAAGAGGCUAGGUGGCAAAUGGUAAAACCAAGGUUGGGCAUUGCUGGAAAAGCUUUAAUCAAGGCGAACUAUCAAGGGGUUCCCAUUAUCACCCAACCGCGUAAGGAACGCAAAAUCCGGGAACAUAACACCGAUAUGACGGAAACUAGGGCGGCAAGAGUGGAACAAAACACUAGGCGAGAGGCCGAGCCUUCCACCCUUUACCAAGUAUAUAGAUGCAUUAAGAUAACAUGGCAAUAUAAUGAUAUCCCAACAAGUAAAUAAUGUUCCAACAAGGAACGGUCUCCAAUCUUCACCUGCAACUAGCAACACUAUAAGAGGGGCUGAGCAAAGCGGUAACAUAGCCAAUCAACAGUUUGCUAGGACAUGGUGGGUUAGAGGUUGAACAUGGCAAUUUGGGAGGCAUGAUAAGCAAGUGGUAGGCAUCGUAGCAUAGGCAUAGCAAAAGAGCGACCAUCUAGCAAAGCAAAGAUAGUAGUGAUUUCAAGGGUAUGAUCAUCUUGCCUGCAAAGUUGUCUGAGUUGACUGGAUCCUCGAAAGCAAACUCAACGGGCUCCUCGUUAGCGAACUCAUCUCCUGGCUCUACCCAAACAAGACAAAUAAGCAACAAGGACACAAUCAACCACAUGCAAACUCAAACAACAUGAUGCAAAGAUGAUAUGCUAUGCGGGAUGCAAUAUGGGAUGCAUAUGCAAGACUUGACGAGGAAUGAAUGAACCUGGCCUCAACAUGGAAAUACAAGUGUGCCACUGUAAAGGUGAGAUGAAAUCGCUUGAAAACGAUAUAAAGAACGCCGGAAUCGGAGUUACGGUUUGGAAAUGGCAAGCAAUUCAAAUAUGACCAUGUUCUGCGAUUUACAGCAAGUAGCCAUCUAAAUGCAACAAGAUGAACAUUCCACAGCACCCAAACAUGACAAAAAAAAUACAUGGCAGGGAUCCACUCAUGAUGCUUAACAAAAUACUAGCACUGAGCUACGGCCAAUUCAUCCAUUAACAGGUUCAAACAAGUGUGGCAAAAAUGCAUUUGAUAAACAGAUUUCAGACUUAGUGAAAUUAACACUUGUCUGGAAUUUCAGUUCAGAUAGCACUAUUUGGAGCAUGAAAACAAUAUACUACAGGACCUGAACAUGACAAAGUAAAGCAUGACAUGGAGGUACUCAAAGAGCUUAACAAAAGUCCCUUAGUGACCUUGAGCGAAAAGGGAUCAGAAAAUACAUGUGGAAGCAUGCGAACAUGGCAAAAACAUAAUCAGUUCUCAGACUUAGUGAAAACUGGAGCAUGCUGAAACAGAUAUCAAGUAAGCAUGUUUACGAGCUCGAUGCACUCACUACAGAGCAAGUCAUAACAAUCUAAGCAUACACACAUCAAGAAUACACAAAAUACAAGCUAGACAUGGCACGAACAAUAACAUAGCAUGCAUGGAUCAACUACAACAUCCUCGGUAAAAUUGCUAACAAGUAGACAAUCUGCCCAGAUUCACGAAAUAGCAAAAGUAGAGCUCGAUUGACUCAAUCUAGGGUGCUCCAUAAUUGCAAACAAAGACAUAGAUGGAUAUAGCACUACAAGAUUAACAAAACAUCCUUACUGAUCAUCCUCAAAAGAGGCACGGAUCACUAGGAAUCAACAUGAACAUAUGGCAUACUGAGAUAACCAGUCCAAGGACUUGGUGGAAAUGCUAAGUCCCUGAAAUCAGCAUUAACGAAUGCUCCACUUUGCAAGCUUGUGCUAGUCACCACACACAUCACAAAAAUACAUGGGUUGCACCUCUGGAUAGAUGGCAAAACAUAUAACAAAACUCAUGUAGAGCUCAGGGGCAUAUCAUGCACACAAUAAUCAUGGCAAAAAUGACAAAUAUCUAAUUGGAGCAUCAGAUCUGACAAUUAUCUCAAAUAGCACUCUUCCAACAGCAUUCGGGCAUCAAGAUGAACUCAAAUGAAAAUGAUGCAAUGAGAUGAAAUGAUGUACUCUCUAAGAUGAACAUUUUGAUAUGCUAUAUGCCCAAAACGGAGCUACAGAUGCGGAGAUAUAGCAUGAUGAAAAACGCACAAAAACUAGGGUUAGGGACGAGAAAGUCAACCGAGAGGGAGUUUCCAGAUCCAGAUCGGGAUCUCGCGAGUACUGUAGCGGCAUGGAGUCUGAGGUUCGUCACCGGAUUUGGGCUGGCCAGAGUUGGACGACGAGGCGGCCGGAGAGAGGGAGGCGCCGGAGGUGGGCGGCGCCGGCCGGUGAGGUGGAGGCGGCCGCGGUCGUCGACGAGGUAGCGCGGCGGGGCGGUGACCGGAGCGGCGCGGUCGCCGGCGAGGUCGAGCUGUGGCGCGGUAGCGCGGGUCGCUGAAGACGGAGGAGAGGGGCGGCGCGGUGAGCCGGAGAGGAGGCGGGGCGGAGCGGGCCGCGGGGGCCGGGGUUGGGCCCGGCGGGCUUCUGCGAUGUGGGGCGCGCCGGCGCCACAUGGCGGAGGGCGGUAGGUCGGGCGGCGGCGGGCGGAAGUGUACGGUCCGCUCCGGACACGUCCGGCGGCGGGAGGAGGAAGAGGCUAGGUUUAGGGGUGUUUUGACCCGAAAUUUCGGGGGGAGGUCUAGUUUUAUAGGUAGGAGGAGCUAGGAAGCUCCAAAUGGAGUCCGGUUUUCGGCCAUGCGAUUGUGAUUGAACGCUCUAGAUGAUGGAGAAGGUUUUGGUGGGUUUUGGGCCAAAAUGGAGAGGUGUUGGGUUGCAACACACACGAGGCCUUUUCGGUCCCUCGGUUAACCGUUGGAGCAUCAAACGAAGUCCAAAUGGUACGAAACUUGACAGGCGGCCUACCGGUAGUAAACCAAGGCUGCUUGGCAAGUCUCGGUCCAAUCCGGAAAUGUUUAAUCCCCACAUACGAAAGAAAGGUAGAAAUGACCACCGGAGGAGAACGGAGCGCCGGAAUGCAAAACGGACAACGGGGAAAAUGCUCGAAUGCAUGAGAUGAACACGUAUGCAAAUGCAAUGCACAUGAUGACAUGAUAUGAGAUGCAUGACAAUGAUAACAACACACGGAGACAAAGACCCGAACCCGAGAAAAUAAAAUAACUUAACGCCGGAAACGGCAAGAGUUGGAGUACAUAUUGGGAAAAUCAUAUCCGGGGUGUUACAGUUUUCCUCUCCUCCACUUCACCCUUGCCGUUUUAUUCGCCCUCUCUCUCUAUCCUCCCUCUCUUUCUCUAUUUGCCUCUUUUUGCCCGUUUCUCGUUUGCUUGUGUGUUGGAUUGCUUGCUUGUCAUGAUGGCUCAAGAUAACAUUAAAUUGUGUGACUUUACCAAUACCAACAACAAUGAUUUUAUUAGCACUCUGAUUUCUCCUCUUACCGAUGCUGAAUCUUGUGAAAUUAAUGCUGCCUUGCUGAAUCUUGUCAUGAAAGAUCCAUUUUUCGGCCUUCCUAGUGAAGAUGUCGCUACCCAUCUAAAUAGCUUCGUUGAUUUGUGUGAUAUGCAAAAGAAGAAAGAUGUGGAUAAUGAUAUUGUUAAACUGAAGCUAUUUCCUUUUUCUCUUAGAGUUCGUGCUAAAGCUUUGUUUUCGUCUUUGCCUAAAAUAGUUUUGAUUCGUGGAAUAAGUGCAAAGAUGCUUUUAUCUCUCAGUAUUUUCCUCCCGCUAAGAUCAUCUCUCUUAGAAACGAUAUUAUGAAUUUUAAGAAACUUGAUCAUGAACAUGUUGCACAAGCUUGGGAGAGGAUGAAAUUAAUGAUACGUAAUUGCCCAACACAUGGUUUGAAUUUGUGGAUGAUUAUACAAAAAAUUUACGCCGGAUUGAAUUUUUCUUCUAGAAAUCUUUUAGAUUCGGCCGCGGGAGGCACUCUUAUGGAAAUCACUUUAGGAGAAGCUACUAAACACCUAGAUAAUAUUAUGGUUAAUUAUUCUUAAUGGCACACUGAAAGAUCUACUAAUAAAAAAGUGCAUGUGAUAGAAGAAAUUAAUGUUUUGAGUGGAAAGAUGGAUGACUUAUGAAAUUAUUUUCUAAUAAAAGUGUUUCUUCUGAUCCAAAUGAUACGCCUUUGUAUACUUUGAUUGAGAAUAAUAAUGAAUCUAAGGAUGUGAAUUUUUUUUGGUAGGAACAAUUUUGGUAACAACGCGUAUAGAGAAAAUUUAAUCCUAGGCCUUAUCCUAGUAAUUCCUCUAAUAAUUAUGGUAAUUCCUACAACAAUUCUUAUGGAAAUUAUAAUAAUGCCCUCUGAUUUUGAAUAUAAUAUUAAAGAAUUUAUUAUUUCGCAAAAGAAUUUCAAUGCUUUGAUUGAAGAAAAUUUGCAUAAGACUGAUGAGUUGGCUAGGAACGUUGAUAGAAUUUCUCUUGAUGUUGAUUCUUUGAAACUUAGAUCUAUUCCACCUAAGCAUGAUAUCAAUGAGUCUCUCAAAACCAUGAGAAUUUGCAUUGAUGAGUGCAAAGAAAGAACCGCUAGGAUGCGUGCUAAGAAAGAUUCCUUUAUAAGAGCGUGUUCUUCUAGUUUCCAUGAUAAUAAAGAUGAAGAUCUAAAAGUUAUUGAUGUGUCCCCUAUUAAAUCUUUGUUUUGCAAUAUGAAUCUUGAUAAUGAUGGGACUGAAUAUGAUCCACCUUUACCUAGAAGGCGUUCCAAAAAUUCGGAGUUUUUAGAUCUUGAUGCUAAAAUUUAUAAAAGUGGGAUUAAAGAGAUCAAAACUCUAGAUACUAAUGAACCUACUAUUCGGAGUUUUUAUUGUAUUUCCUUGUUGCAAUCCGUGUUAAAUUCUCCUCAUGCUUAUAGUCAAAAUAAAGCUUUUACCAAACAGUUAUCAUGAAUAACUUCAACUAAAUGCAUCAAAUGUUACAAAUAAUACAUACAAACUUAGUUUAAUAAAUUAAUGAAUUAAAGCGAGAACAAACCUUCAAAUGUAAUUUAGAGUGAAUCAAUUAAGACCAUGUAAAGCUAUUACUAGUCCAAUAUUAAUUAAUAACUUGCACAUAAUUGCAACCAUUGACAUAAAAAGGGAAUAUGAUGAGUCAUGUAUUGAGAAUGUGUACAACAUUACUACCAUUGACAUAAAAGGAGAAUUUGAUGAGUCGUAUCAGCUUGUUCAUCUUACCAUUAUACUACACAACACUGCAAGCUAGUUUAAAAAAAAUAAGAGUACAGAAUGAACAUUAGAAUAGCCUGAUCUAUCUUUGACAACAUGCACAAGGAUACAAAUUUAGUCCCCAGCAAGCUAUGAAGAUUUGGUUUAUGUCUAACAACUUGUACAACAAGAUAAACUUAGAUCCAAAAGGAUUGCAAUCCAGAUAAUUGUUUGACAUGUAAAGUCGAUAAGAUGAGUCAGUGCCAAUUAUCAUGUUUUCGUCACUCUUAGAUGAUAUGUACAAUAAAAGGCAACUUUGAUGACCACUCCAAAAUUACAUUUGUAUGUAGUGCCACCAAACACAACACACCAAAUAAUCAGUUUGAUAAGCAUCAAAUCACUUUAAAAAAAUAAAAGCUAUAAUGAAAAGAAACCUAACCAUGGUAGCUAUAAAAAGGAUGCAAUAUGUAGACUCCAUACCAUCAUCCAUCCUUCACACAACUAGAGCACAAGUAUCAAAUCCAAUUAAGUAGUAGCCAACACAAAUCCACCAUGAAGACCUUAUUCAUCCUAACAAUCCUUGCGAUGGCAACAACUAUCGCCACCGCGAAUAUGCAGGUCGACCCCAGCGGCCAAGUACAAUGGCCACAACAACAACCAUUCCGCCAGCCCCAACAACCAUUCUACCAGCAACCACAACACACAUUUCCCCAACCCCAACAAACAUUCCCCCAUCAACCACAACAACAAUUUCCCCAGCCCCAGCAACCACAACAACAAUUUCCGCAGCCCCAGCAACCACAACAACCAUUUCCCCAGCCCCAACAAGCCCAACUACCAUUUCCCCAACAACCACAACAACCAUUCCCCCAGCCUCAACAACCCCAACAACCAUUUCCCCAGUCACAGCAACCACAACAACCUUUUCCCCAGCCCCAACAACCGCAACAAUCAUUCCCCCAGCAACAACAACCGUUGAUUCAGCCAUAUCUACAACAACAGAUGAACCCUUGCAAGAAUUACCUCUUACAGCAAUGCAACCCUGUGUCAUUGGUGUCAUCCCUCGUGUCAAUGAUCUUGCCACGAAGUGAUUGCCAGGUGAUGCAGCAACAAUGUUGCCAACAACUAGCACAGAUUCCUCGCCAGCUCCAGUGUGCAGCCAUCCAUAGCGUCGUGCAUUCCAUCGUCAUGCAGCAAGAACAACAACAAGGCAUACAGAUCCUCCGGCCACUGUUUCAGCUCGUCCAAGGUCAGGGCAUCAUCCAACCUCAACAACCAGCUCAAUAUGAGGUGAUCAGGUCAUUGGUAUUGAGAACCCUUCCAAACAUGUGCAACGUGUAUGUCCGACCUGACUGCUCCACCAUCAACGCACCAUUUGCCAGCAUAGUCGCCGGCAUCAGUGGACAAUGAAAAAUGAAGAGUUAUGCUAAUAGGUAGAUGGAUCAUCGUUGCUUAGCUGAUGCACCAGUCUUUGUAGCGAUGAGGAAUAAAGUGGCGUGCACCAUCAUGUGUGACCCCGACCAGAGCUAGUUCAAGCUUCAGAAUAAAACACAAACAAAGUUCUUGUUUGCUAGCUUCGCUUUUCACUGUUCCAUUUACUUUUUAUUUUCAUGUUCGUUCCUAACCGCAAUCCUAGCCUUACACAUCAAUAGCUAGCUACUUCUGCUGGCAGGUUACUAUUUAAUCUAUCGAUUAAUGGUCGAUGUAUUAAUCCAGUUAAUAGGUUGAUUGAUAUAUUAGUUACUGCUCCCAAGCCGACCGAGCGCUAUCAGUUAGGGAUUUCCUGAACAUUGCACACAAUAAUAAUUCAAUGUAUUUCAAUGUCUAGAAGUGAAAGGGCCAUUUUAGCACCAAAACAAGAGGCUGAUUAGAAACCAUCCAUCACUCUAAAUGUUAAUCUGAAUAUUUUUGCAUUGGUGCAAUUUUGAGUUUGGUGGCACCGAAGCAUUCUUCAAAAGCAAAUUUUAGGGGACUCCAAAGAGGUGAAAAUCAAACCAAAGUUGCCACAUGGUAAAAGAUAAACCAUGCGGUGAGCAAGAGAAAAUAAUUAGUCACAAUAGCAAGAACCAAACACUUGAUAUGAUUUCGUGCGGAGAUGGAAACAAUUUAUAUAUGACAAACAAAGCAUAAGUUGCAUUAGUUUUAAUUGAUUGUAGAAAUUUAUUUUACCUGUAGAAUAACUCAGUUGUUAUCUCUUUAAACAUGCAUUGUGAUAUUGACUUGUCUCAAUCUAUGAACACAAAGCAAAUAUUGCAUUUGCGGUUAUGGUCUCCAAACAGAUGAGAAAUCAGUCUGUGUAGAAAGUUCCUUAGAAGGAUAUUACUGAAUCAAGGAAAUAUUGUAGGAGUAAGAACUGGGGAAAGUAGUGGCUGCACCCACCCUCGGUGCACCCACGGUGCACUCACGCAAGAAAACAUAUCAGAACAUUUCGAAAAAAUCUGAAACUUCGUGGAGAUGAUCAUCAACAAAUGUCACGAGGGCUUGCAAAGUUUGGUGGUCAAAUAACAUUCAAGAAGCGCUCUACAAAAAAGACAAAAUUGCAAAAUCUGCUCAAACGGUGCACGUACAUUUUGACUAAUUUUCAGUGAUUUUGUCUUUUUUGUAGAGAGCUCCUCGAAUGUUAUUUGACCACCAAAUUUUGCAAGCCCCCAUAACAUUUGUUGAUGAUCAUUUCCACGAAGUUUCAGAUUUUUUCAAAAUGUUUUGAUAUGUUUUCUUGCGUGGGUGCACCGUGGGUGCACCGGGAGUGGGUGUAGAAGAACCACUCUCGUAAGAACUGGAAUGGGGAAAAACUGGAGCGCUUUAUCCAGCCUCCUCUCUAUAUUCUACAUGGAUAUCGUCUGUUACAUCUUAGCCCCCAACUGUUACAUGUUCACACAUUUAUAUAACUCAACAGGAUAUAAUAGUUUUGAGCUAAACAAAUUUACUAUUGUACUCAUGUCUUGCAUAGUUAAAGUUGAAAAUCAACGUAAGUAGUGGAUAGUUUGAAAGACAAGUGUGGGAAACAAAUAGUAGGAUAUAAAUUUGAGUAGAAUGUGUGAUCAAUUGUUGACCACAUAGCCCAGCAAACUACUAAAACUAAGAAAAACAAGAUAUUCUACCUUGUACAAACUGUCACAUUGAUAAAACUAUGAUUUGUUUUUGAAAAAUCUGUAGCCCGGAACUAAUAUAAAUUCAAACAAAUCUGUCACAGAUCCCUGAGCCCAUCCAAAAAUUAAUGGUAGUGGAAACUGAAAGAACUAUUAACACGAUUAGACCCAAAUGAUCUAUGUUCCAACAAUUAAUGAUAUUUGAAACUAAAACACGAGUGUUCUAUGUUCUACUACCUAUGUGUAUAAAUAUAAGACGUUUGGCGGUUUAAAAUGAACUGCCAAAAUGUCCUAUAUUAAGGAACAGCGGGUGUACCAAGUAUAUUCUAUGGUCCAAAUUUGUUCAUGUAAAGUGUAUCUUUAACUGAUGCCCUAAAAAAUAGCGGUGUAAUUAGCCGAGUAAAAGAUUUGUGGAGUAAAUUUACUCAACUAACUUUUGGCUGCACCUAACGGAUCUCCUAAAUUUAGCAGAAGUAAUAUUUUCUUGUCACAUUCAUUUCAUUUUCAGCCACUGAAAUAUAUCGGAAUACACAAUUAACAAAUUCUUCAUGAAAAAAAUGAAACCAAAAAAACUAAAACCACAAUUAGACACUUUAAUAGAAAUUCAACUUCCAUAACUGCUGCUGAAAGUUGGUAAACAGAUUUCAGACUUAGUGAAAUUAACGCUUGUCUGGAAUUUCAGAUCAGAUAGCACUCUUUGGAGCAUGAAAACAAUAUGCUACAGGACCUGAACAUGACAAAGUAAAGCAUGGCAUGGAGCUACUCAAAGAGCUUAACAAAAGUCCCUUAGUGACCUUGAUCCAAAAUGGAUUAGAAAAUACAUUUGCAAGCAUGUGAACAUGGCAAAAACAUAAUCAGUUCUCAGACUUAGUGAAAACUGGAGCAUGCUAAAACAGAUAUCAAGUAAGCAUGUUUACGAGCUUGAUGCACUCACUACAGAGCAAGUCAUGACAAUCUAAGCAUACACACAUCAAGAAUACACAAAAUAAAAGCUAGACAUGGCACGAACAAUAACAUAGCAUGCACGGAUCAACUACAACAUCAUCGGCAAAAUUGCUAACAAGUAGACAAUCUGCCCAGAUUCACGAAAUAGCAAAAGUAGAGCUCGAUUGACUCAAUCUAGGGUGCUCCAUAAUUUCAAACAAAGACAUAUAUGGAUAGAGCACUACAAGAUUAACAAAACAUCUUUACUGAUCAUCCUCAAAAGAGGCACGGAUCACUAGGAAUCAACAUGAACAUAUGGCAUAUUGAGAUAACCAGCCAAGGACUUAGUGGAAAUGCCAAGUCCCUGAAAUCAGCAUUAACGAAUGCUCCACUUUGCAAGCUUGUGCUAGUCACCACACACAUCACAAAAAUACAUGGGUUGCACCUCUGGAUAGAUGGCAAAACAUGUAACAAAACUCAUGUAGAGCUCAGGGGCAUAUCAUGCACACAAUAAUCAUGGCAAAAAUGACAAAUAUCUAAUUGGAGCAUCAGAUCUGACAAUUAUCUCAAAUAGCACUCUUUCAACAGCAUUUCGGGCAUCAAGAUUAACUCAAAUGAAAAUGAUGCAAUGAGAUGAAAUGAUGUACUCUCUGAGAUGAACAUUUUGAUAUGCUAUAUGCCCAAAACGGAGCUACAUAUGCGGAGAUAUAGCAUGAUGAAAAACGCACAAAACUAGGGUUAGGGACGAAAAAGUCAACCAAGAGGGAGUUUCCAGAUCCAGAUCGGGAUCUCACGAGUACUGUAGCGGCACGGAGUACGAGGUUCGUCGCUGGAUUUGGGCCGGCCGGAGUUGGACGGCGAGGCGGCCGGAGAGAGGGAGGCGCCGGAGUGGGGCGGCACCGGCCGGUGAGGAGGAGGCGGCCGCGGUCGUCGACGAGGUAGCGCGGCGGGGUGGCGACCGGAGCGGCACGGUCGCCGGCGAGGUUGAGCUGCGGCGCGGUGGCAUGGAUCGCCGGAGACGGAGGAGAGGGGCGGCGCGGUGAGCCGGAGAGGAGGCGGGGCGGAGCGGGCCGCGGGGGCCGUGGUUGGGCCCGGCGGGCUUCUGCGAUGUGGGGUGCGCCGGCGCAAUGUGGCGGAGCGCGGUAGGUCGGGCGGCAGCGGGCGGACAUGUCCGGUCCGCUCCGGANNNNNNNNNNNNNNNNNNNNNNNNNNNNNNNNNNNNNNNNNNNNNNNNNNNNNNNNNNNNNNNNNNNNNNNNNNNNNNNNNNNNNNNNNNNNNNNNNNNNNNNNNNNNNNNNNNNNNNNNNNNNNNNNNNNNNNNNNNNNNNNNNNNNNNNNNNNNNNNNNNNNNNNNNNNNNNNNNNNNNNNNNNNNNNNNNNNNNNNNNNNNNNNNNNNNNNNNNNNNNNNNNNNNNNNNNNNNNNNNNNNNNNNNNNNNNNNNNNNNNNNNNNNNNNNNNNNNNNNNNNNNNNNNNNNNNNNNNNNNNNNNNNNNNNNNNNNNNNNNNNNNNNNNNNNNNNNNNNNNNNNNNNNNNNNNNNNNNGAGCUAGGAAGCUCCAAAUGGAGUCCGGUUUUCGGCCAUGCGAUUGUGAUUGAACGCUCUAGAUGAUGGAGAAGGUUUUGGUGGGUUUUGGGCCAAAAUGGAGAGGUGUUGGGUUGCAACACACCCGAGGCCUUUUCAGUCCCUCGGUUAACCGUUGGAGCAUCAAACGAAGUCCAAAUGGUACGAAACUUGACAGGCGGCCUACCGGUAGUAAACCAAGGCCGCUUGGCAAGUCUCGGUCCAAUCCGGAAAUGUUUAAUCCCCACACACGAAAGAAAGGUAGAAAUGACCACCGGAGGAGAACGGAGCGCCGGAAUGCAAAACGGACAACGGGGAAAAUGCUCGAAUGCAUGAGAUGAACACGUAUGCAAAUGCAGUGCACAUGACGACAUGAUAUGAGAUGCAUGACAACGAUAACAACACACGGAGACAAAGACCCGAACCCGAGAAAAUAAAAUAACUUAACGCCGGAAACGACAAGAGUUGGAGUACAUAUUGGGAAAAUCAUAUCCGGGGUGUUACAGUUUUCCUCUCCUCCACUUCACCCUUGCCGUUUUAUUCGCCCUCUCUCUCUAUCCUCCCUCUCUUUCUCUAUUUGCCUCUUUUUGCCCGUUUCUCGUUUGCUUCUGUGUUGGAUUGCUUGCUUGUCAUGAUGGCUCAAGAUAACAUUAAAUUGUGUGACUUUACCAAUACCAACAACAAUGAUUUUAUUAGCACUCUGAUUUCUCCUCUUACCGAUGCUGAAUCUUGUGAAAUUAAUGCUGCCUUGCUGAAUCUUGUCAUGAAAGAUCCAUUUUCCGGCCUUCCUAGUGAAGAUGCUGCUACCCAUCUAAAUAGCUUCGUUGAUUUGUGUGAUAUGCAAAAGAAGAAAGAUGUGGAUAAUGAUAUUGUUAAAUUGAAGCUAUUUCCUUUUUCUCUUAGAGUUCGUGCUAAAGCUUUGUUUUCGUCUUUGCCUAAAAUAGUUUUGAUUCGUGGAAUAAGUGCAAAGAUGCUUUUAUCUCUAAGUAUUUUCCUCCCGCUAAGAUCAUCUCUCUUAGAAACAAUAUUAUGAAUUUUAAGCAACUUGAUCAUGAACAUGUUGCACAAGCUUGGGAGAGGAUGAAAUUAAUGAUACGUAAUUGCCCAACACAUGGUUUGAAUUUGUGGAUGAUUAUACAAAAAAUUUACGCUGGAUUGAAUUUUUCUUAUAGAAAUCUUUUAGAUUCGGCCGCGGGAGGCACUUUUAUGGAAAUCACUUUAGGAGAAGCUACUAAACUCCUAGAUAAUAUUAUGGUUAAUUAUUCUUAAUGGCACACUGAAAGAUCUACUAAUAAAAAAGUGCAUGUGAUAGAAGAAAUUAAUGUUUUGAGUGGAAAGAUGGAUGACUUAUGAAAUUAUUUUUUAAUAAAAGUGUUUCUUCUGAUCCAAAUGAUACGCCUUUGUCUACUUUGAUUGAGAAUAAUAAUGAAUGUAAGGAUGUGAAUUUUGUUGGUAGGAACAAUUUUGGUAACAACGCGUAUAGAGAAAAUUUAAUCCUAGGCCUUAUCCUAGUAAUUCCUCUAAUAAUUAUGGUAAUUCCUACAACAAUUCUUAUGGAAAUUAUAAUAAUGCCCUCUGAUUUUGAAUAUAAUAUUAAAGAAUUUAUUAUUUCGCAAAAGAAUUUCAAUGCUUUGAUUGAAGAAAAUUUGCAUAAGACUGAUGAGUUGGCUAGGAACGUUGAUAGAAUUUCUCUUGAUGUUGAUUCUUUGAAACUUAGAUCUAUUCCACCUAAGCAUGAUAUCAAUGAGUAUCUCAAAACCAUGAGAAUUUGCAUUGAUGAGUGCAAAGAAAGAACCGCUAGGAUGCGUGCUAAGAAAGAUUCCUUUAUAAGAGCGUGUUCUUCUAGUUUCCAUGAUAAUAAAGAUGAAGAUCUAAAAGUUAUUGAUGUGUCCCCUAUUAAAUCUUUGUUUUGCAAUAUGAAUCUUGAUAAUGAUGGGACUGAAUAUGAUCCACCUUUACCUAGAAGGCGUUCCAAAAAUUCGGAGUUUUUAGAUCUUGAUGCUAAAAUUUAUAAAAGUGGGAUUAAAGAGAUCAAAACUCUAGAUACUAAUGAACCUACUAUUCGGAGUUUUUAUUGUAUUUCCUUGUUGCAAUCCGUGUUAAAUUCUCCUCAUGCUUAUAGUCAAAAUAAAGCUUUUACCAAACAGUUAUCAUGAACAACUUCAACUAAAUGCAUCAAAUGUUACAAAUAAUACAUACAAACUUAGUUUAAUAAAUUAAUGAAUUAAAGCGAGAACAAACCUUCAAAUGUAAUUUAGAGUGAAUCAAUUAAGACCAUGUAAAGCUAUUACUAGUCCAAUAUUAAUUAAUAACUUGCACAUAAUUGCAACCAUUGACAUAAAAAGGGAAUAUGAUGAGUCAUGUAUUGAGAAUGUGUACAACAUUACUACCAUUGACAUAAAAGGAGAAUUUGAUGAGUCGUAUCAGCUUGUUCAUCUUACCAUUAUACUACACAACACUGCAAGCUAGUUUAAAAAAAAUAAGAGUACAGAAUGAACAUUAGAAUAGCCUGAUCUAUCUUUGACAACAUGCACAAGGAUACAAAUUUAGUCCCCCGCAAGCUAUGAAGAUUUGGUUUAUGUCUAACAACUUGUACAACAAGAUAAACUUAGAUCCAAAAGGAUUGCAAUCCAGAUAAUUGUUUGACAUGUAAAGUCGAUAAGAUGAGUCAGUGCCAAUUAUCAUGUUUUCGUCACUCUUAGAUGAUAUGUACAAUAAAAGGCAACUUUGAUGACCACUCCAAAAUUACAUUUGUAUGUAGUGCCACCAAACACAACACACCAAAUAAUCAGUUUGAUAAGCAUCAAAUCACUUUAAAAAAAUAAAAGCUAUAAUGAAAAGAAACCUAACCAUGGUAGCUAUAAAAAGGAUGCAAUAUGUAGACUCCAUACCAUCAUCCAUCCUUCACACAACUAGAGCACAAGUAUCAAAUCCAAUUAAGUAGUAGCCAACACAAAUCCACCAUGAAGACCUUAUUCAUCCUAACAAUCCUUGCGAUGGCAACAACUAUCGCCACCGCGAAUAUGCAGGUCGACCCCAGCGGCCAAGUACAAUGGCCACAACAACAACCAUUCCGCCAGCCCCAACAACCAUUCUACCAGCAACCACAACACACAUUUCCCCAACCCCAACAAACAUUCCCCCAUCAACCACAACAACAAUUUCCCCAGCCCCAGCAACCACAACAACAAUUUCCGCAGCCCCAGCAACCACAACAACCAUUUCCCCAGCCCCAACAAGCCCAACUACCAUUUCCCCAACAACCACAACAACCAUUCCCCCAGCCUCAACAACCCCAACAACCAUUUCCCCAGUCACAGCAACCACAACAACCUUUUCCCCAGCCCCAACAACCGCAACAAUCAUUCCCCCAGCAACAACAACCGUUGAUUCAGCCAUAUCUACAACAACAGAUGAACCCUUGCAAGAAUUACCUCUUACAACAAUGCAACCCUGUGUCAUUGGUGUCAUCCCUCGUGUCAAUGAUAUUGCCACGAAGUGAUUGCCAGGUGAUGCAGCAACAAUGUUGCCAACAACUAGCACAGAUUCCUCGCCAGCUCCAGUGUGCAGCCAUCCAUAGCGUCGUGCAUUCCAUCGUCAUGCAGCAAGAACAACAACAAGGCAUACAGAUCCUCCGGCCACUGUUUCAGCUCGUCCAAGGUCAGGGCAUCAUCCAACCUCAACAACCAGCUCAAUAUGAGGUGAUCAGGUCAUUGGUAUUGAGAACCCUUCCAAACAUGUGCAACGUGUAUGUCCGACCUGACUGCUCCACCAUCAACGCACCAUUUGCCAGCAUAGUCGCCGGCAUCAGUGGACAAUGAAAAAUGAAGAGUUAUGCUAAUAGGUAGAUGGAUCAUCGUUGCUUAGCUGAUGCACUAGUCUUUGUAGCGAUGAGGAAUAAAGUGGCGUGCACCAUCAUGUGUGACCCCGACCAGAGCUAGUUCAAGCUUCAGAAUAAAACACAAACAAAGUUCUUGUUUGCUAGCUUCGCUUUUCACUGUUCCAUUUACUUUUUAUUUUCAUGUUCGUUCCUAACCGCAAUCCUAGCCUUACACAUCAAUAGCUAGCUACUUCUGCUGGCAGGUUACUAUUUAAUCUAUCGAUUAAUGGUCGAUGUAUUAAUCCAGUUAAUAGGUUGAUUGAUAUAUUAGUUACUGCUCCCAAGCCGACCGAGCGCUAUCAGUUAGGGAUUUCCUGAACAUUGCACACAAUAAUAA
rnacentral:lncRNA from 1 species